GCCGCCACGAAAUCCAAAAAGUGUGGGGAGAUCCGUAAUGGCUUCCUUCCCUCUUUACCCUCCUGUAGGCUAUAAACAACGUUGUUACCUGCAAAACACCCAAAAACACACAUAAGCAAGUUUGUUUUAACUUUUUCUUUCAUUGUUUUUAGAUUUGUUUGUGUUUUGUUUUCCAUCUGUUGUUCUUCCUUCUUCUCAAGUGGCCGACCUGCUGUGGAGUGAGGAGUGGCUCACCAGCGACUUGCACUGUCAGAUACCAGCUGGAUUGGGUAGAUCGUUGACUCCUCCUUCUUCUUUGGUCGGCGUUGAGGCAAGCAAGGGUCUAAGGAGGGGGAACGGACCACAUUAAGCUCAGUCCCUUCUCCUC